rnacentral:precursor_RNA from 14 species
CACUUGCCGUCUGAAGGGCCCCUGCUGCUGUCCUUCAUUCCACCGGAUCCUGUGUAAAUAUAAUCCAGAUUCCCAGUGGCAUGAAGUGCAUUAGCUGAGCCUGUGAGCACCUACCAAGGG